rnacentral:rRNA from 1 species
AUACGUAGGGAGCGAGCGUUGUCCGGAAUUAUUGGGCGUAAAGGGUGCGUAGGCGGUAAUCCAAGUCAGAUGUGAAAUCCCCGGGCUUAACUCGGGUGUUGCAUUUGAAACUGGAUUACUUGAGUGCAGGAGAGGAAAGCGGAAUUCCUAGUGUAGCGGUGAAAUGCGUAGAUAUUAGGAGGAACACCAGUGGCGAAGGCGGCUUUCUGGACUGUAACUGACGCUGAGGCACGAAAGCGUGGGGAGC